GUCCUUCCAAUGGCAGUACAUAUACUAAAAUUGGAACGAUACAGAAAAGAUAAGCAUGGCUGCUGCACAAGAAUGACUCACAAAUUCGUAAAGAACUAAUUUUUU